GUCACGGUCACAGUCACGGUCACGUCCCGAGCGGGCGGCGCGUGCCCGGCCGCCCACGCCUGGCCGAGGGACCCCCAGGAGCAGAGCAGGAGAGACCCGCGAGCUGCCGAGUCCCCCUCCCUCCCGGAGCACUCGGUUCCGGGCUCCGGGGCCGGACGAGGGGCGGGGGGCGAGGAGGGGCCCAGGACUGGGCAUAGAACGCACCUACGAGCCAUUCACAGCCUCCCCCGCCCCCCAGUUGUGUGUUCAAACCCCUCGCUCUGACAUCCCACCCUCCCCACCUGGACCUCAGCCAUGCCUUUCCAACUUGGCCGGACCCAGCAGAGUAGAGACAUCCCGAGAGGAGAAAAAUGAAGCCUGGCAGCAUUCAGCGACAUCCUCGCGAAAUCACACAACUCUCCAGUGUCCCCCGCAGGAUCUGAACCCAAGUCUUCCUGACUCUGCCACCUCUGCUUGAGACAUCAGAGCAAGACAGACUUGAGUUGCACAUUUCCGGAAAACGAGUUCUACUUUCAGGCCAUCGGGGCCUGUUCCCCAGACUCAACAGCUGCAUCUCCCACGUCAUCUCCCAUCUCCGGGCCUUUGCACGGGCUGCUCCCUAGGCGUCUUCACCUCCACUUCAAUUUCCUUGGCUGUUUUCAAAGGUUGUUUCUCCUCAAGCCAGGAAAUUAUUUUGUAUCUAAUCUUUAUGACUCAACAACCUAGGAGCAGAUAAGCUCCAAGAGGGCAGGGCCAGCCUCCUUUUUGGCCUCAUAGCAUCCAGGCCUAGCAUAGCAUCUGACUUGUAGUAGACAUUCUGACAAUGCUUGUUGACUGAAUAAAUGAAAGUCCAAGGUGUCCUUCCAGUGCCUGGGGAGACUUGGGGCUGGGUGGAGGCACCCCCUGGGGGAAGGAG